CGCCGCUCCCCGCCGCCCUCCAGCUUCUUGCGGUUGAGCUUGAAGGAACCGUUGGCGCCGGUGCCCUUCACCUGCAGAAGCGUGUCGUUCUGCACCAGCGCCUUGAUCGAGUACUUGAGGGCACCCUCCCUGCAUGGCCCGAUGACCUGCACUCCUGUUUCAUCUCCCCGUGUGGCACCUGGGGCAGCUUGGAGCCUACCAAGGUCUCAACAAGGAACCAGUAAAUACCAAAAAAAGGACAUCACGUCCCCUACAGCUAACUGCAAAUGGUGACCAUCCCAGCCCUUGUUUGAUAACACAAGCAAAGCAAUGGCUUCUUCAAGGACACCGAGAGGAACCUCACCUCUUUCUAAAACCUCCAACACAGGGCCAGGCGCGGUGGCUCAUGCGUGUAAUCCCAGCACUUUGGGAGGCCGAGGCAGGUGGAUCACGAGGUCAGGAGAUCGAGACCAUCCUGGCUAACACGGUGAAACCCCGUCUCUACUA
rnacentral:lncRNA from 1 species